GAUUAGUUUUGAUUUAUGUUUAGUUUUUCCUCGGCCUUCGGGUCCGCCCUUGGUUCUGUUAUCUUAUUUAAUUCUCACCACGGCCGAUUGGUUCGUCGCUUUUAGUUUAGUUUUCAUUACCUUUCUGUUUGUUCCUGUGCUUCUGCAGUUUGCGUGUUUAUUUCAGUUUAAUCAAUUAAACCUUGUUUCCUUCAAAUCACCUGCCUGUCUGUCUGCCUGCUGCAUGGGUUCACACCUGUCCCAUUCGUGACACUAGCACACUGGCCUUUUCAAAUACUGUUAAAGACAUGGUUCAUUUAAACCCAGAAAAUAUGCUGCAUGUUUUUUUUUUUUUGUUUGUUUUUUGUUUUUCUGUUGCAUAUAUGCAGCUUUUGCACAGACAGUUCAUCUCGUGCACAGGCUCCAGGAAACGCAUCAGAAUUGCAGCUGGCAUAUGUUGGAUAGCUCAUUUUUCCAGCUGUAUUUAAAAAUCUGAGUGACUUCAGAGUUAACGUGUUAAAACUUUUUUUUUUCUUUGUAGACAAGUUAAUUUACCUUAUUUUGUGUUUCAUCAGCCUUCACCCUGAAAUGUCAUCAGUGUUUAAUGGAAAACUCUGGAAACUGCACUGACACUGUAGCAUUUUCCUGUAGAGGGUGAUCAGUGUGUCGUGAUGAGUCGUGUCAUAUGCAGAUUGUGUCAAAGGGUCAGUCAACUUUGGAAUCACAAAGACUGUAUUUGUCAGCAGGUGCUGCACCUCUGAUCUCUGCAACACUCAAGCUGCCCGGGAUGUCGGUCAAUCCUAC